AGAGUUUGAUCCUGGCUCAGAUUGAACGCUGGCGGCAUGCCUUACACAUGCAAGUCGAACGGUAACAGGGAGCUUGCUCCGCUGACGAGUGGCGAACGGGUGAGUAAUAUAUCGGAACGUACCUAAGAGUGGGGGAUAACUAGUCGAAAGAUUAGCUAAUACCGCAUACGAUCUACGGAUGAAAGUGGGGGCUCGCAAGACCUCAUGCUCAUAGAGCGGCCGAUAUCUGAUUAGCUAGUUGGUGAGGUAAAGGCUCACCAAGGCAUCGAUCAGUAGCUGGUCUGAGAGGACGACCAGCCACACUGGGACUGAGACACGGCCCAGACUCCUACGGGAGGCAGCAGUGGGGAAUUUUGGACAAUGGGGGCAACCCUGAUCCAGCAAUGCCGCGUGAGUGAAGAAGGCCUUCGGGUUGUAAAGCUCUUUUGUCAGGGAGGAAACGGGGUUCUCUAAUACAGAGUCCUAAUGACGGUACCUGAAGAAUAAGCACCGGCUAACUACGUGCCAGCAGCCGCGGUAAUACGUAGGGUGCAAGCGUUAAUCGGAAUUACUGGGCGUAAAGCGUGCGCAGGCGGUUGUGUAAGUCAGGUGUGAAAUCCCCGGGCUUAACCUGGGAAUGGCAUUUGUGACUGCACGGCUAGAGUGUGUCAGAGGGGGGUAGAAUUCCACGUAGCAGUGAAAUGCGUAGAGAUGUGGAGGGAUACCGAUGGCGAAGGCAGCCCCCUGGGAUAACACUGACGCUCAUGCACGAAAGCGUGGGGAGCAAACAGGAUUAGAUACCCUAGUAGUCC
rnacentral:rRNA from 1 species